rnacentral:misc_RNA from 1 species
GGGUCUAGUAGAGAGAGAGAAGGAGGGCAAUUUUGGCAUUUAAUUUUAAUUAGAAUUUAACUUUUAUUUUUUUUGUUUUGACUAACAGUAAAUUGACUUGAUUUUGGACAGAAAGAAUAAUUUGUUUACUUUUAAACAUUAAGGACUAAAUUAUUAGGUUUUCAAACAGCAUGGAUAAAUUUGAGUGUUUUGCUUAACCUCAAGGACGUUUUUCUAAAAUACCCAUAAAGAAUUAUCCUUCUCCCCCUGCUAAACAGAACAAGA